GCAAAUCAAAAUAGCACACAAAUCACUUGACUUUUCUAAGUGUUUAAAUUCUAUGAAAUAUGCUCCAAAAAAACUACAUUUAUGUGACCCCCAAACCUCCCCUCUGAACCACUGGUCUCACACAGCAACAAAUGCUAUAGUCUCAAUUCUUCCGUUUCUCCUCAGCUGAACAAACCAAACAGUAUUUACUGCUCUGCUCACUUACUAUCCUAGACACCACGGGAGAAACAGGUAAAAUUAUAAAAUACAGUUCCUGCUUUUCAGGAGCUUAUAAUCAACCUAAUUAAGGAAACUGAUUACCUGUGUUCAGUAUUCAUCUGUCAGCUUCCUUUCUCUACUACAUUCACACCAACCCCAAGUCAGAUCACAGACAGGUAUAAGAACAGAACAAAGCAAAAGAAGCUAUUUUUGUGUAGCCCCGCAUAUCACACAGAUGGGGCCACUGAGAAACCUCUGUAGAGUGUUUAUUCCUAGUUGAGUGCCUUUUUGGUCCAGAUCAACAGUGCCAUGGCUUAC
rnacentral:lncRNA from 10 species